rnacentral:rRNA from 1 species
CUCAGGACGAACGCUGGCGGCGUGGUUNAGACAUGCAAGUCGAACGAGAAGCUCCCUUCGGGGAGUGGAGAGUGGCGCACGGGUGAGUAACACGUGAGCAACCUGCCGGGAAGCCCGGGACAGCCCUCCGAAAGGAGGAUUAAUACCGGAUGUGACCACCCUGCGAUUGCGGGGGAAGCUAAAGGAUUUAUUCACUUCCCGAGGGGCUCGCGGCCCAUCAGCUUGUUGGUGAGGGUAACGGCCCACCAAGGCGACAACGGGUAGCUGGUCUGAGAGGAUGGUCAGCCACACUGGAACUGAGACACGGUCCAGACACCUACGGGUGGCAGCAGUCGAGAAUCAUUCGCAAUGGGGGAAACCCUGACGAUGCGACGCCGCGUGGAGGAUGAAGGCCUUAGGGUUGUAAACUCCUGUCAAGAGGGAAUAAGCAAGUGAAGGUACCUCUAGAGGAAGGGGCGGCUAAUUCCGUGCCAGCAGCCGCGGUAACACGGAAGCCCCGAGCGUUGUUCGGAUUCAUUGGGCGUAAAGGGUGCGUAGGCGGCGCGGAAAGUCCGGCGUGAAAGGCAGGGGCUCAACCUCUGGACUGCGUUGGAUACUUCCGUGCUUGAGGACUGGAGGGGAGACUGGAAUUCACGGUGUAGCAGUGAAAUGCGUAGAUAUCGUGAGGAAGACCGGUGGCGAAGGCGAGUCUCUGGACAGAUCCUGACGCUGAGGCACGAAGGCUGGGGGAGCGAACACGAUUAGAUACCCUGGUAGUCCCAGCAGUAAACGAUGUGAGCUUGAUGUGGGGGGAUUCGACCCCUUCCGUGUCGAAGCUAACGCGAUAAGCUCACCGCCUGAGGAGUACGGCCGCAAGGCUAAAACUCAAAGAAAUUGACGGGGACCCGCACAAGCGGUGGAGUAUGUGGCUUAAUUCGAUGCAACGCGA